GUGCUCACUUCAGUAGCACAUAUACUAAAAUUGGAACAAUACAGAGAAGAUUAGUGUGGCCCCUAAGCAAGGAUAGUAUGCAAAUUUGUGAAGCAUUCUAUAUUUUU